rnacentral:rRNA from 1 species
UUUGGACGGAGAGUUCGAUCCUGGCUCAGGAUGAACGCUGGCGGCGCGCCUAACACAUGCAAGUCGAACGGCACCCACCUCCGGGUGGAAGCGAGUGGCGAACGGCUGAGUAACACGUGGAGAACCUGCCCCCUCCCCCGGGAUAGCCGCCCGAAAGGACGGGUAAUACCGGAUACCCCNNNNNNNNNNUGCCCCCUCCCCCGGGAUAGCCGCCCGAAAGGACGGGUAAUACCGGAUACCCCGGGGUGCCGCAUGGCACCCCGGCUAAAGCCCCGACGGGAGGGGAUGGCUCCGCGGCCCAUCAGGUAGACGGCGGGGUGACGGCCCACCGUGCCGACAACGGGUAGCCGGGUUGAGAGACCGACCGGCCAGAUUGGGACUGAGACACGGCCCAGACUCCUACGGGAGGCAGCAGUGGGGAAUCUUGCGCAAUGGGGGGAACCCUGACGCAGCGACGCCGCGUGCGGGACGGAGGCCUUCGGGUCGUAAACCGCUUUCAGCAGGGAAGAGUCAAGACUGUACCUGCAGAAGAAGCCCCGGCUAACUACGUGCCAGCAGCCGCGGUAAUACGUAGGGGGCGAGCGUUAUCCGGAUUCAUUGGGCGUAAAGCGCGCGUAGGCGGCCCGGCAGGCCGGGGGUCGAAGCGGGGGGCUCAACCCCCCGAAGCCCCCGGAACCUCCGCGGCUUGGGUCCGGUAGGGGAGGGUGGAACACCCGGUGUAGCGGUGGAAUGCGCAGAUAUCGGGUGGAACACCGGUGGCGAAGGCGGCCCUCUGGGCCGAGACCGACGCUGAGGCGCGAAAGCUGGGGGAGCGAACAGGAUUAGAUACCCUGGUAGUCCCAGCCGUAAACGAUGGACGCUAGGUGUGGGGGGACGAUCCCCCCGUGCCGCAGCCAACGCAUUAAGCGUCCCGCCUGGGGAGUACGGCCGCAAGGCUAAAACUCAAAGGAAUUGACGGGGGCCCGCACAAGCAGCGGAGCAUGUGGCUUAAUUCGAAGCAACGCGAAGAACCUUACCAGGGCUUGACAUAUGGGUGAAGCGGGGGAGACCCCGUGGCCGAGAGGAGCCCAUACAGGUGGUGCAUGGCUGUCGUCAGCUCGUGUCGUGAGAUGUUGGGUUAAGUCCCGCAACGAGCGCAACCCCCGCCGCGUGUUGCCAUCGGGUGAUGCCGGGAACCCACGCGGGACCGCCGCCGUCAAGGCGGAGGAGGGCGGGGACGACGUCAAGUCAUCAUGCCCCUUAUGCCCUGGGCUGCACACGUGCUACAAUGGCCGGUACAGAGGGAUGCCACCCCGCGAGGGGGAGCGGAUCCCGGAAAGCCGGCCCCAGUUCGGAUUGGGGGCUGCAACCCGCCCCCAUGAAGUCGGAGUUGCUAGUAAUCGCGGAUCAGCAUGCCGCGGUGAAUGCGUUCCCGGGCCUUGUACACACCGCCCGUCACACCACCCGAGUCGUCUGCACCCGAAGUCGCCGGCCCAACCGAGAGGGGGGAGGCGCCGAAGGUGUGGAGGGUGAGGGGGGUGAAGUCGUAACAAGGUAGCCGUACCGGAAGGUGCGGCUGGAUCACCUCCUUUCUAGGGAG